UACGAAGGGGGCUAGCGUUGCUCGGAAUCACUGGGCGUAAAGGGCGCGUAGGCGGAUCUUUAAGUCGGGGGUGAAAGCCUGAGGCUCAACCUCAGAAUUGCCUUCGAUACUGGAGAUCUUGAGACCGGAAGAGGUAAGUGGAACUGCGAGUGAGAGGUGAAAUUCGUAGAUAUUCGCAAGAACACCAGUGGCGAAGGCGGCUCACUGGCCCGGUACUGACGCUGAGGUGCGAAAGCG
rnacentral:rRNA from 1 species